rnacentral:rRNA from 1 species
GACGAACGCUGGCGGCGUGCUUAACACAUGCAAGUCGAACGGAAAGGCCCCCUUGUGGGGUACUCGAGUGGCGAACGGGUGAGUAACACGUGAGUAACCCACCCUUGACUUUGGGAUAACUUCAGGAAACUGGGGCUAAUACCGGAUAGGAGCUCCUGCUGCAUGGUGGGGGUUGGAAAGUUUCGGCGGUUGGGGAUGGACUCGCGGCUCAUCAGCUUGUUGGUGGGGUAGUGGCUCACCAAGGCUUUGACGGGUAGCCGGCCUGAGAGGGUGACCGGCCACAUUGGGACUGAGAUACGGCCCAGACUCCUACGGGAGGCAGCAGUGGGGAAUAUUGCACAAUGGGCGGAAGCCUGAUGCAGCAACGCCGCGUGCGGGAUGACGGCCUUCGGGUUGUAAACCGCUUUCGCCUGUGACGAAGCGUGAGUGACGGUAAUGGGUAAAGAAGCACCGGCUAACUACGUG